rnacentral:lncRNA from 1 species
UUUCAAAUACAACCAGCUUCAAUCUCGACGCUCACAACAAGAUGCACUGUACCAACCCGGCAAUAACAUCGGGUAGACAGGCACACCUCAAAGGUGACAAUGAGGACCUUCAACAAUUGCAGCAGUCCAAUCUCAGCGAAGUCUGAGCAACGUCUGCUUUAUCAGUCCAAUCCGGUGAUAACACCGGUGAGGGGCAACAUCAUCAUCUCGUCAACACGAUGCCACAUCACCUCGUCUUAACAUCUCUACGCAACAAUGUCCCACAAGACUAACCAAUCCCGAGUGACUAUUGUGCGGGGUAACUGAUGAAAGUUGAAGCUUGAAGAUCGGAGGGCAUCGUCCCAUCUUCGAUGACUUCAUACAAACUCUAGUCCCAUGCC